CGGGGAGCACAAGAAAGGCUCGGCGAGGGACGGGAGCAGCAGAGGGUGCCGGAAUCGACGGUGGCGCUGCGGUGGCCGGAGGUGGAAGAAGGCCUCGAUCCGCUUGACUUGGCGUGUUCCAGCUCGAUCCUUGGACGUAGUCGAAGUAGUGGACGACGAUGAAUCGCGGGGACAAAUUCUCUUGUGCCCAGGAGCUAGGUGAGCGCGAGAACGGCGAAGGCCAUGGCGGUGCUGGUUCGGCCUAGCGGGGGCGGGGAGGUCGAUGGCGGCGCGAGGAAGGGAGGGG
rnacentral:rRNA from 1 species